GACGGAAGACGCGUUCGCGCGCGUCAUCCGCGCCCUCCGUUUUCGGAUCCGAAGGCGAACGCGUGCACUUUUCUCUCGGUAGGACGUCGCGAUCCGUCGGGCGUCGGUCUACGGCUCGCGGUGGAGACCGGGCGCGCGUUCACGCGCGCGCCAGGACCCGCUUGUCCCGGCCGACCCGCUCGACGGUAGGCGAACGGUCAAGGGCCGCUCCUUGCGAGCGUUCGGCCCGUCGCAAGCGCGUCAGACGUAUCGGCGAUCGGACCUCGUGCCGGUUCCGAUCUCUGGCGACUGUUGGCGGCGGACGUCUCGAACAGACCUCUGACCGAUCCGCGACGCUAUAGCUUUGGGUACUUUCAGGACCCGUCUUGAAACACGGACCAAGGAGUCUAGCAUGUGCGCGAGUCAUUGGGAUCAACUAAACCCAAAGGCGCAAUGAAAGUGAAGGUCCGCCUCGCGCGGACUGGGGGAGGACGGGCGGUCCGCCCUUAAAAGCGGCCGCCUCGCACUCCCGGGGCGUCUCGUUCUCAUCGCGAGAAGAGGCGCACCGAGAGCGUACACGCUGGGACCCGAAAGAUGGUGACCUAUGCCUGAUCAGGA
rnacentral:rRNA from 1 species